GGAUAUAUAGGACUGGGUACAGAUCCAGAUAAAAACCAUGUAUUUAUUUUCUUUUUACAGCAGAACAGCCAUGGCAGCACGGAGCUUUAAAGAGAGUGGAAACCUGGUUUGAAAUGUUGAUUUGCCUCUGUGUGGCACCUGUGAGGCAUGGCAGAGCACCAGCUGCUCCACAAGCAGCUGCAUGUGCCCUGGGACAGCUGGAUGCCUUUAAGGAAGCAAUGGGAGCUGUUAUAGACAUCUUCACACAAUCAUCUCUAAAUGGGCACUGCUGACUUAAAACUCCCAGACCAAUUCCGCAGACAAGAGUGGCUAUUUAGC
rnacentral:lncRNA from 12 species